rnacentral:rRNA from 1 species
UGAGAGCGGCGUACGGGUGCGGAACACGUGUGCAACCUGCCUUUAUCUGGGGGAUAGCCUUUCGAAAGGGAGAUUAAUACCCCAUAAUAUGUUGAAUGGCAUCAUUCGACAUUGAAAACUCCGGUGGAUAGAGAUGGGCACGCGCAAGAUUAGAUAGUUGGUGAGGUAACGGCUCACCAAGUCUACGAUCUUUAGGGGGCCUGAGAGGGUGAUCCCCCACACUGGUACUGAGACACGGACCAGACUCCUACGGGAGGCAGCAGUGAGGAAUAUUGGACAAUGGGUGAGAGCCUGAUCCAGCCAUCCCGCGUGAAGGACGACUGCCCUAUGGGUUGUAAACUUCUUUUGUAUAAGGAUAAACCUACCCUCGUGAGGGUAGCUGAAGGUACUAUACGAAUAAGCACCGGCUAACUCCGUGCCAGCAGCCGCGGUAAUACGGAGGGUGCAAGCGUUAUCCGGAUUUAUUGGGUUUAAAGGGUCCGUAGGCGGAUCUGUAAGUCAGUGGUGAAAUCUCACAGCUUAACUGUGAAACUGCCAUUGAUACUGCAGGUCUUGAGUGUUGUUGAAGUAGCUGGAAUAAGUAGUGUAGCGGUGAAAUGC